UCAAGGUCGUUUCCGUGCGCGUGGUGACAUUGUGACUGAAACGGCAUACGACAAUAUAAAUUUUACGUGUGUUCAUCAGCUGAUUACCUUUAAUACAAUUUUUUAAACCGACAACUUCUAAUUGAUUGAUCAUUUGACAGGACCAAAUGGCAUCAAAAGGAAAUAACCAGAUGGCACAACUUUUAGCUAAGCCAGGAUCAUCAGGCCAGCUGCCCCGGCUACCACCACGACCAGGCAAAACAGGACCUUUCAACAUCACGGC